rnacentral:lncRNA from 1 species
UUAUCAUGGUUGUCAUCACCAACUUCUUUGGUAAAUAUGAGGCUGAUUGAUGUGCUAGACAACCGUUUACCACUUCCGACAAGUCAAUUAGUUGCACAAAAUCUUGUUCGCAUUGCUACUUUGGCAUUCGCCUGCCUAAAUCCGCAACCUAAGUCUCGACCAACGAUGAAAAAAGUGUGCGAAGAGUUUCUUUGUGGUCAAACAUCCUUGGGAGUUCCCCUUCGGAUGAUCUCUUUGUUACAACUUGUGAACUGUGAAAUGCAUAUUGGAGGCAAAACUGGAACUUGUAAUGUUUAAACUCCAUGUGGCUGUUCUUGAUUAGAUAUUGUUUAUCAUGCUUUGAUGAUUUGUUUGUAAACCAUAUCCUGUGUUAUAUAUGGUGGAAUGAAUUGCAAUGUUCAAUAAAUUUGUUUAUUUGAUUGUUUUACAUAACAUAAAUUCGACAAUUUGAUCCAAAUAUUCAAACACCAUCCUAAUAGCUUCCUUCAAUUUCGUGCUUCUUAGAUAAAUAAAAUAUAAGUAAAUUAAUGGUGAAUUAAAGCAACAAAAUGCAACCAAUACAUUAAGAAUUUACCUGAACUAACUAUAAUUCAUUAAACAAUCUCUCCACUUAUGUAAUGGAAGUGAGAUUUCACAGAUCUGGGCUAGGUAACAUCCAAACUUAAAAAGCAACCAAAGGGGUCAAAAUGGAGCCAGCACAAAUUCCAACAUUUGUUUUUUUCCAUAUCAAGCACAUUAAGAUUUAUUGCUUGGUAGAGUUAAAAAUUGAAAUGAAAGAAAAUAAACAUUUAAAAAUGCAUAAUUUUGAACUAAUAUACACCUCUCUCUCAUUUUCUUUCUUUUCAUCAUUCUAAUUUGGAAGUAUCGGUUUUUAUACAUUACGAUGGAAAAUGAUUCUUUCCUCUCACUUUUCUUCCAUAUCAAGCACAUUCAAAUUAAAAUAUUUAUUUAAUUUUUAUACAUCGUAAAAUGUACCAAUAGAAUUAGAACAUUAAUACACAUAUCAAUUUUAAAAAAAAGAUUAAUUUUUAAUAUUUUUAAGCUUCGUAUAAUUUAGAAAAAAAUUGUCUUGAAUGAAUCUAGACAUAGACUUAACUUGUAAAUGGUUUUUAUUAAUUUUUAAUUUUUUGAACUUUAUUUAAUAUUUUUAUAAUUUUGAAUAUUUUUUUACAAAUUUAUAAAAUUUUAAAAAAUAAAUUUUUUUAAAUAUUUUUUUAAUUUAAAAAAAUUUUAAGCUUCGAAACGAAUGAACUUGGUACUGCAACAUCAGCAACUAUUCCUUUUAAAAAUUAAAUAUUCCUUUUAAUUUUUAUUUUUUAAAAUAAAUUUUUUUAUUUUUGUUGACAUGGUAGUUGAAAUGGUAAUGGCACAUCAACAACUAUCACUGACAUGAAGCAUCAUGUUAGCGUCGUUAAUGAUUAUGUCAACAUUGCAAUGGUCAACAUUAUUCAAAGGGUCUAUUUGGUCAAUUUUGUUAGUUUAGUGGCUCAAUUGGGUGCAAAAAGUUCGUAGAGAUUUAAUUAAUUUUUUUGAAAAAGUUCGAGGACCAAAAAUAGCAUUAAACCCUUCUUUAACUAUUGAUAUAUCCUUUUUUAUGUAUAGGUCAACGGCCUAUUUGACCAAUUUCCUUUAUUUUAGGGAUACUGCAAACUACCAUCUUUCUAAUUUCCAUUGCCAGAACUAUGACAGUAGUAGAUCCAUCGCCUUUGGCGUCCGAAGCCAUAGCUAUGGUAGAAAGUGGGUGGUGGAGUAACUAUAGCAACAAUGCUUCAGAACGUUGCCAGUGGCCAGGUAUAUCAUGCAACACUGCUCGAAGCAUCAUCCAAAUUAACUUAUCUUAUGCAUUCCUUAUCGAGGUUGGAGAUAGAUUUGGGAAAUUGAAUUUCUCUUCGUUUCCAAAUCUUGUCCUUCUUGAUCUUAGUCAUCGUCAACUUAGUGGAAAAAUCCUGUAUCAGAGAGGUUAUCUAUCAGCAUUGAAGCACCUUGACCUUUCCUUUUGUGGUUUUUCCGGUGAGUUACCUCCUCCUCUAGGAAACCUAACCCAAUUAGAAUUCCUUGACAUUUCCUAUAAUUAUAACAUUAACGGCUCCAUCCCUCCACAACUAGUGAAUCUAGUGAACCUUGUCAGUUUAAAUUUGAGUAGAACCGGUCUUAGUGGAAACAUUCCACCGUUCCUUGGGCUUUUGACCGACCUUAGGCAUCUACUUUUGGAUAGGUAUCAGUUUGAUGAUGGUAAGAAUACAAUCCCCCAAAAUUUGUGGAAUUUGAGGGGUCUUGAGACUUUGAGCCUAAAUGGUUGUGGAAUUGUGGGUCCAAUCCCUUCUGCUUUGGGUCAGUUAAUAAAUCUCAAAUAUUUGGGUCUAUUGGAAAACAAAAUUAAUGGAUCUAUUCCAUCUGAAGUUGGAUUCUUAUCAAACUGAUUUUUGAUCUCUUCGACAACAGACUGGUUGGUUCAAUACCUUUUUCCUUGUACCCAUUAACUAAUAUGGAAAUUUUGUCCCUUGGUAAUAACCAGCUUGAAGGUUCCAUCCCUUGGAAUAUUGAAAAUUCGAAGAACAUCAAGAUUUUAAGCAUCAUUAAUAAUAGUUUUUCUGGUCGUAUCCCCCCAGCUUUGUGUCGUUUGACAAAUUUGGAAUAUAUUGACCUUGGCAAAAAUCAAAUCAGUGGUUUAAUCCCAUCUUGUUUUGGCAAUUUAUCCAAUUCGGAUACCUUAGAACUUGAUUCAAAUCUAUUAAAAGGUCCUAUCCCUGAAGAAAUUGGUAGGCUUUUUCACCUAUCAAGUUUAAACCUCAGCUUCAAGCAACUCUCAGGUAGUGUCCGUAUCUUGUUUGCCACUAAGCUUCGAAUUAUCAUGCUGGAAUUAACUGUAACAAGAUUUCUACCGAUCCAUUUGAAGGCAAUAGUCAUCUAUCACCCUAUAUGUGUCCUUCUCCAGUAACCAACAAAGCCAACAGCAGUACAAUUCUUUACUAUAUCAACAUAUUCCUCCCUAUUGCCAUCUUCUUCACAUUCUCCAUUUUGGGAUAUUUUCUAUUUUCACGAUUUAACCUCAAGAAUAACCGUGUCGGUGUACAACCGACGAAGAAUGGGGAUUUGUGUUCCAUAUGGAACUACGAUGGAAAGAUAGCAUACGAGGAUAUUGUUGCAGCAACAGAGGAUUUCGACUUUCGAUACUGUAUAGGAGUUGGUGGUGAUGGAAGUGUUUACAGAGCACAACUACCUUGUGGUAAAGUAGUUGCCUUGAAGAAACUUCAUCGUUUAGAAGCUGAAAAUCCAGCCUUUGACAAGAGCUUCAGGAAUGAGAUCAAGUUUCUAACAGAAAUACGACAUCGAAGCAUCGUAAAGCUUCAUGGGUUUUGUCUACACCGACGGUCCAUGUUUUUGAUCUAUGAGUACAUGGAAAGAGGGAGUUUGUUCUGCAACCUAAGAGAUGAAGUGGAAGCUAUGGAAAUGGAUUGGACAAAAAGAGUGGAGAUCAUCAAGGGCAUAGCGCAUGCUUUGUCUUACUUGCACUAUGAUUGCAGCCCUCCAAUAGUUCAUCGAGACAUAUCAAGUAACAAUGUUCUUUUAAACUCGAGCUUUGAGGCCUUUGUAGCUGACUUUGGGACUGCUAAAAUGUUGGAUCUUGAAUCAUCCAAUCAGACCAUUAUUGUGGGCACAUGUGGUUAUGUAGCUCCAGGUGAUUUUCUUUGCUUCGUUUGAAGACAUUUUCUUCCGAAUUUAUAAAAUUAUUUGAAAAUAUAAAUGAUUUUCUUUUUAUCUCGUUUUUGGUAUGCAGAACUUGCCUAUACGAUGGUUGUCAGCAAAAAAUGUGAUGUCUAUAGUUUUAAAGUGGUGGCACUGGAAACGUUAUGGGAGAGCAUCCUGAAGAAGAGUUAUCAUGGUUGUCAUCACCAACUUCUUUGGUAAAUACGAGGCUGAUUGAUGUGCUAGACGACUGUUUACCACUUCCGACAAGCCAAUUAGUUGCACAAAAUCUUGUUCGCAUUGCUACUUUGGUAUUCGCUUGCCUAAAUCCAUAACCCAAGUCUCAACCAACGAUGAAAGAAGUGUGCGAAGAGUUUCUUUGUGGCCAAACA